GGGGGGCAGUGUGCGGGCGCCGGGAGGAAUCCCGGGCAGCCGAGAGGACGGGACGGGUAGCUGCCCGUGCUGCCCGUGAUGGGCGUCUCCGCUCUAUAAAUCGCAGUAUUGUGCUGUGGAACGCAGUUUGCCGAUUUGGCUCCUCGCUCUUGUUUAAGAUCUGAAGAAACCUUAAAGAAACUAAAAAAGAUGGCAUCCAACUUCGUGGCCAAUGGCGAUGAGAUCAACGAGCAGCACCACGACUACCACCAUCACCACGGCCACCACCACCAGGCGCCGUCGCCGCGUGGUCAGGGGCCGUCACCGCGCGGGGUUCGGCGGGCGUUGUCCUCGAACUCAGCGGCCUGCGGCCAGGGCGCCGCCGGCGGGUCGAUCCCCAAGUGCGUGUGUGCUCCCGCCACCCAUGCGGGUUCCUUCAAGUGCCGCCUCCACAGGACGAACUCCCACGGCCACUCGCCGCCCUCCCCAACCUCGAUCCCUCCUCCUCCGGCACCCGUGAACUCAUCCCGCACCCCUACCGUGGAAGCUCAGUGACCACAAAGAGGAUCGGCGAUUCCCGAUGGCUUUGGAGAGAUUCUUAAUUUGGUAUCUUUGUUGUCUCAUCCACCCAACCCUAUUCUUCCGCUGCUUCCCCCUUUUUAUGUAUGGAGGUGAGAGAGAGAGAGAGAGAGAGAGAGAGUUCUGUGUGUUCUUGGGGUGUACUAGUUGUUCUUGUAAAUAUGAUCUGUUUCUAUGAUCUAAAGCCAAAAAAAAAGAAAGAUAAAAAGGUGGUGUUGUGAUCUGUGCUUGCUUGAUCUGAUCACAGCCAAGAAUUGGGUUCACAAAGCUACUGUAAGAAAUCAAGGAAUUAUUGUGUGUUUUUUGCAUCCAAGCAACAGGAUUGCUUUCAGUGACGAAGAUGAUUGUCUCCAGCAUGUUAAUGAAUUGCCUGUAUUCUGAUCAAGCAAUUGGCUGCUGGUGAUUGGAGUCAUCCACGGCCUACCCAAUUUUACCCAGGGAUGGGUUGUUGUCAUCAAGAAGCCCCGAGAAACCUGUGAAACUAUCCACAACGAAUCUUCCUGAUCAAAAGUUGCAACUCCUACAGAUCCACAGUGCAAAAGGAGGAGGAAAAGUGGCCCGAGCCCUUUGAUUGCCUGUCUUCACGGGAUGCCAAUGCCUCAUCAAGUGGAAAAGCUUACAACAGCCAAGCCUUUCCGUCAGCGGUGGGUUGUUUCUGCUGCUCCUCCUCCUCAGACAGAUUGUCUUCAUGCAGCCAGCUCCUGGGAGACAUGCAUGCAGCAAGGAGUGAGGAGGCCUGCCCAUGGGCCUCCUUAAACUGAUGUACAGUAUAUCAUAUACAUCGACUCUCGUAACUUGAAAUUAUGUUCUCAUUAAACUGCAGGCUACAUGACCCUCUACUUGUGAUCUUUCUCAAAUCUCCUGCAAACGAGGACCCAAAGUCAAACCAAUCGUGGCUCGGUGGGAGGUCGACGUCGUUGGACGUGUAGUGCGCGGCUGGACUGGUGGGUCUCACCCACUUGGCCGCACAUGUUCGUUCCAUUUUUCCCUUGAGGUCGCGCCCAUCAUCCGCAUCACAAACCUUGGAGGGUCUUGUCAUGUUCGGAAUCCUAGAACGUAAAGCAUUGCAUUGCAAAUUUGGUGUUUCAAGUGGAACUUGUGAAAUAGGAGGCCAUUUCCAUAUGAAAGAAUAAAGGAUGCAAGGAGAGAAGGAAGUUCGAAGGAUGCUAAAGAUUUGUACGAGGAAUGCAGCAUAUGCUUUAUGAAGAUUCCUCUUAGUUUGUGCGUGUGUCGUUUGAAUUCGGAUUGGCUACCAUAGUGGAGUGAAGGGAUGAUAAGUAAGACUAAUUACUCUCUUCUGGUAUCAAAAGUCAAGUUGCUAAGAUUUUAUCAUUGCACUAGAGAUUACCAAAGAGGUACGAGGAAUAAAUAUAUGAUAUCUUGUGCCUAAA